rnacentral:rRNA from 1 species
GACGAACGCUGGCGGCGUGCUUAACACAUGCAAGUCGAACGGAAAGGCCCUGCUUUUGUGGGGUGCUCGAGUGGCGAACGGGUGAGUAACACGUGAGUAACCUGCCCUUGACUUUGGGGUAACUUCAGGAAAAUGGGGCUAAUACAGGAUAGGAGCUCCUGCUGCAUGGUGGGGGUUGGAAAGUUUCGGCGGUUGGGGAUGGAAUCGCGGGUUAUCAGCUUGUUGGGGGGGUAGUGGCUUACCAAGGCUUUGACGGGUAGCCGGCCUGAGAGGGUGACCGGCCACAUUGGGACUGAGAUACGGACCAGACUCCUACGGGAGGCAGCAGUGGGGAAUAUGGCACAAUGGGCGGAAGCCUGAUGCAGCAACGCCGCGUGCGGGAUGACGGCCUUCGGGUUGUAAACCGCUUUCGCCUGUGACGAAGCGUGAGUGACGGUAAUGGGUAAAGAAGCACCGGCUAACUACGUG